rnacentral:rRNA from 1 species
AGUCGAACGGGAGCUUCGGCUCCAGUGGCGGACGGGUGAGUAACGCGUGAGAAUCUACCUUCAGGAUGGGGACAACCGUUGGAAACGACGGCUAAUUCCCAAUGUGCCGAGAGGUGAAAGGUUUCGACCGCCUGAAGAGGAGCUCGCGUCCGAUUAGUUUGUUGGUGGGGUAAGAGCUCACCAAGGCAGCGAUCGGUAGCUGGUCUGAGAGGAUGAGCAGCCACACUGGGACUGAGACACGGCCCAGACUCCUACGGGAGGCAGCAGUGGGGAAUUUUCCGCAAUGGGCGAAAGCCUGACGGAGCAACGCCGCGUGUGGGAAGAAGGCUCUUGGGCUGUCAACCACUUUUCUCAGGGAAGAAGUUCUGACGGUACCUGAGGAAUCAGCCUCGGCUAACUCCGUGCCAGCAGCCGCGGUAAUACGGAGGAGGCAAGCGUUAUCCGGAAUUAUUGGGCGUAAAGCGUCCGCAGGGGGCUCAUCAAGUCUGCUGUUAAAGGUCGGAGCUUAACUCCGAUACAGCAGUGGAAACUGAUGGGCUAGAGGGCGACAGGGGUAGAGGGAAUUCCCAGUGUAGCGGUGAAAUGCGUAGAGAUUGGGAAGAACACCGGUGGCGAAAGCGCUCUACUGGGUCGCACCUGACCCUCAGGGACGAAAGCUAAGGGAGCGAAAGGGAUUAGAUACCCCUGUAGUCUUAGCUGUAAACGAUGGAUACUAGGCGUGGUUUGUAUCGACCCAAGCCGUGC